rnacentral:rRNA from 1 species
AUUGAACGCUGGCGGCAUGCUUUACACAUGCAAGUCGAACGGUAACAGGCCGCAAGGUGCUGACGAGUGGCGAACGGGUGAGUAAUGCAUCGGAACGUGCCCAGUCGUGGGGGAUAACUACUCGAAAGAGUAGCUAAUACCGCAUACGAUCUAUGGAUGAAAUCGGGGGACCGUAAGGCCUCGCGCGAUUGGAGCGGCCGAUGUCAGAUUAGGUAGUUGGUGGGGUAAAGGCUCACCAAGCCAACGAUCUGUAGCUGGUCUGAGAGGACAACCAGCCACACUGGGACUGAGACACGGCCCAGACUCCUACGGGAGGCAGCAGUGGGGAAUUUUGGACAAUGGGCGCAAGCCUGAUCCAGCAAUGCCGCGUGCAGGAAGAAGGCCUUCGGGUUGUAAACUACUUUUGUACGGAACGAAACGGCUCUGGUUAAUACCCGGGGCUAAUGACGGUACCGUAAGAAUAAGCACCGGCUAACUACGUG